rfam:Sporothrix schenckii ATCC 58251 unplaced genomic scaffold supercont1.9, whole genome shotgun sequence.
UAUCCGGCGCCAUUGGGCGCCACCGCCAUUUAAAAAUAAGUAUGCAU